GAAAUGCGAUAAGUAAUGUGAAUUGCAGAAUUCAGUGAAUCAUCGAAUCUUUGAACGCACCUUGCGCUCCUUGGUAUUCCUUGGAGCAUGCCUGUUUGAGUAUCAUGAAAUCUUCAAAGUAAAUCUUUUGUUAACUCAAUUGGUUUCUACUUUGGUAUUGGAGGUCUUUGCAGCUUCACACCUGCUCCUCUUUGUUCAUUAGCUGGAUCUCAGUGUUAUGCUUGGUUCCACUCGGCGUGAUAAGUUAUCUAUCGCUGAGGACACUGUAAAAGGUGGCCAAGGUAAAUGCAGAUGAACCGCUUCUAAUAGUCCAUUGACUUGGACAAUACUUUUAUGAUCUGAUCUCAAAUCAGGUAGGACUACCCGCUGAACGUAAGCA
rnacentral:misc_RNA from 1 species